UACGGGGGGGGCAAGCGUUGUUCGGAAUUACUGGGCGUAAAGGGCGCGUAGGUGGCCAACUAAGUCAGACGUGAAAUCCCUCGGCUUAACCGGGGAACUGCGUCUGAUACUGGAUGGCUUGAGUUUGGGAGAGGGACGCGGAAUUCCAGGUGUAGCGGUGAAAUGCGUAGAUAUCUGGAGGAACACCGGUGGCGAAGGCGGCGUCCUGGACCAACACUGACACUGAUGAGCGAAAGCCAGGGGAGCAAACGGG
rnacentral:rRNA from 1 species